rnacentral:misc_RNA from 1 species
GAAAUGCGAUAAGUAGUGUGAAUUGCAGAAUUCAGUGAAUCAUCGAAUCUUUGAACGCACAUUGCGCCCUUUGGUAUUCCAAAGGGCAUGCCUGUUCGAGCGUCAUUUGUACCCUCAAGCUUUGCUUGGUGUUGGGCGUCUUGUCUCUAGCUUUGCUGGAGACUCGCCUUAAAGUAAUUGGCAGCCGGCCUACUGGUUUCGGAGCGCAGCACAAGUCGCACUCUCUAUCGGCAAAGGUCUAGCAUCCAUUAAGCCUUUUUUUCAACUUUUGACCUCGGAUCAGGUAGGGAUACCCGCUGAACUUAAGC